rnacentral:lncRNA from 7 species
UUUCUGUUUUCUGCCUCGUUUCACAUGCUGGUGCUUGGGACACAGCUCAGGGAUAAGAAAAUCUGAGAAAGCUGCUGGAAAGGCUUUCAUCCUUAUCCACACACGAGGGGAAAAGCACCUUUUGCUUCUCCAAGCUAAGAAGAAAGAGACUCUCCGAACCUGAGAGAUGUUCCUGGUUUGUUGUCUUCCAUGAGGCACAGGCAGAAAGGAGAAAUGGGGGACUGCUGUUACACGCUGGCCUUGCUCACAAACCCCUCCUGAACCUGUGCUGCAGGAUCCUUGAAGACAGGAACAGAUACCCAGCAAAAAGACCAAGAUCAGGAUGUGAAGCUGAGUAGAAGUGAGUGGGACCAAUGCUGAAACUGUGGCGGGCUCCUUUUGAGCAAACAAGUGACCAUGCACCAUGUCUGUGCAGAACAGAUGAGCUCAGCCACCACUGCUCUUGGGACAGCAGCUGCUGGGACAACCCUGCGAACUGGAGUCACUAUGAUGCCGCUCAGACUCAAGGAAGACGCAGAGGGUUCCUUCUGCUGUCCUGCGCUCCUAGUGCCCUCGCACACAGCUCAGGGAAGCAGGCAGCUCCCAGGCCUCUCCCUUCAGAAAGGGUAGGAGCACAGAGAACUGCAUGUUCUGCUGCCCACACGGCAUCCGGAUGUGGGUCUCACCUCCGCCCCUGCAGCAGCAGCAGCUCGCAGCACCAGGCGAGCUGAGGUCGGCCUGACUCCCAGUGCUGCUGCUGCAGGGAGGGAGGCAGCUGCCUUUGCAGGAAAUCCUUAGUGCUGCAGAGAGCUGUGUGCAAGGAGCAAAGCAUCCCCCUUUCAAAACACAGUGAGUUUUGGCGAAGGCCAAUGGUACUUGACAUCUACCAGCUCCUUCACGCAGUGUAACAUCGUCCUGACUUGGCUGCUGGUGACCUGCAGCAAGGCAUCUCAAUCAGCACCAGAAAUUAAAACGUUAAUGAC